AUCCAGCUGACGAGUCUUGAGUAGGACGAAACGCGCAUCCUGGAU
rfam:Schistosoma rodhaini strain Burundi genome assembly, scaffold: SROB_scaffold0001534